AACGCUAGCUACAGGCUUAACACAUGCAAGUCGAGGGGCAGCGGGAUUGAAGCUUGCUUCAAUUGCCGGCGACCGGCGCACGGGUGAGUAACGCGUAUCCAACCUUCCGUACACUCAGGGAUAGCCUUUCGAAAGAAAGAUUAAUACCUGAUGGUAUCUUAAGCACACAUGUAAUUAAGAUUAAAGAUUUAUCGGUGUACGAUGGGGAUGCGUUCCAUUAGGUAGUAGGCGGGGUAACGGCCCACCUAGCCUUCGAUGGAUAGGGGUUCUGAGAGGAAGGUCCCCCACAUUGGAACUGAGACACGGUCCAAACUCCUACGGGAGGCAGCAGUGAGGAAUAUUGGUCAAUGGACGAGAGUCUGAACCAGCCAAGUAGCGUGAAGGAUGACUGCCCUAUGGGUUGUAAACUUCUUUUAUACGGGAAUAAAGUGAGGCACGUGUGCCUUUUUGUAUGUACCGUAUGAAUAAGGAUCGGCUAACUUCGUGCCAGCAGCCGCGGUAAUACGGAGGAUCCGAGCGUUAUCCGGAUUUAUUGGGUUUAAAGGGAGCGUAGGCGGACGCUUAAGUCAGUUGUGAAAGUUUGCGGCUCAACCGUAAAAUUGCAGUUGAUACUGGGUGUCUUGAGUACAGUAGAGGCAGGCGGAAUUCGUGGUGUAGCGGUGAAAUGCUUAGAUAUCACGAAGAACUCCGAUUG
rnacentral:rRNA from 1 species